UUCUCCAGUUUACAGGAUAGCAUCGUCCGAGGUCUUGUUAAAAUGCAGAUUCCGGCAGAGGACGUCUAGGCUGGGCUGAAACACAGUGUUUCUAAUAAGCUCUGGUGACUGUGACCCUGUGAGUUCUGAAGAAUACUGCUGUUUGGCCCUCCACUGUAUCUGGAAGAGAACUAUGGGAUGCUCAGGGUAUAUCAGGAGGAAAAGGUGAAAGAAGGAGAAUCCCCACUCUGAAAGUGAGAACGACAGACACACCCAAGCCAACCUUAUGGGAAUGCCCAUCACUAACUGAAGUGGGGCAACUAUUUCCCAUCUUAACAGAUUUGGAAGGAUUACUGCUCUCUGUGACCUGAGAAUGCUCAAGUACCCAGAGCCAAACUGCAUCCUGCAUUCAGAAGUUGCUUCUAGCCAGGCGGGGGUGGCACACACCUUUAAUCAUAGCACUGGGGAGGCAGAGGAAGGUGAAUGUCUGAGUUUCUGAGUUCAAGGCCAGCCUCAUCUACAAAGUAAGUUCCAAUACAGCAAGGACUAAACAGAGAAACCCUGUCUUGAAGAAAGAAAAAGAAAAAGAUGUUGCUUCUAUGCCAUGUGUUCUCAUUAUUCAGCGGUGGAUAUAAAUGAUAAUGGUAUGAAGUGCCAAAGAGAAACA